rnacentral:lncRNA from 1 species
GCUGGUUCAGCAGGUCAAGGGCCUCACCAAAGCGGUACAGACUAUGCAGCAGCAGCAGCAGCCACAGGUAUCUGUGCGGCUGGAAAGAGCAUCACCAGAGUUUCAGAAUUCGAUGAUCGGGUAGCCAACUUGGGCCAGUCGACCUGUAUCUCCUGAAAAGGAGAAGCAGAGGGCAGAGAGCCCUCUGUCUGAUUAUGAUUCCACCUCCGGAGGGUCCCUACCUCCGUUCUGCCAGAAGACCCUCGAGAUUCACGAUCGAGAGGAUCUUCUGGAUCAAAGGCUCCAAGAGAUGAACCGAC